rnacentral:misc_RNA from 1 species
AGCAGCCGCGGUAAUUCCAGCUCCAAUAGCGUAUAUUAAAGUUGUUGCAGUUAAAAAGCUCGUAGUUGAAUUUCGGGAUUCUACCGUCGGUCGGGCUACCAAGUCUGUACUGGUGUGUAGAAUUCCUACCUUCUGGGGGAACCAUCAUGUUAUUAAUUUAGCGUGGUGGGAAACCAGGACCUUUACCUUGAAAAAAUUAGAGUGUUCAAAGCAGGCUUAUGUCUGAAUACAUUAGCAUGGAAUAAUAGAAUAGGACGGUGGUCCUGUUUUGUUGGUUUCUGAAUCACCGUAAUGAUUAAUAGGGAUAGUUGGGGGCAUUAGUAUUCAAUUGUCAGAGGUGAAACUCUUGGAUUUAUUGAGGACUAACUACUGCGAAAGCAUUUGCCAAGGAUGUUUUCAUUAAUCAAGAACGAAA